rnacentral:rRNA from 1 species
AGGUAGUUGGUGGGGCAACGGCCCACCAAGCCGACGAUGCGUAGGGGUUCUGAGAGGAAGGUCCCCCACAUUGGAACUGAGACACGGUCCAAACUCCUACGGGAGGCAGCAGUGAGGAAUAUUGGUCAAUGGCCGGAAGGCUGAACCAGCCAAGUCGCGUGAGGGAAUAAGGCCCUACGGGUCGUAAACCUCUUUUGCCAGGGAGCAAUGCCGUCCACGUGUGGACGGAAGGAGAGUACCUGGAGAAAAAGCAUCGGCUAACUCCGUGCCAGCAGCCGCGGUAAUACGGAGGAUGCGAGCGUUAUCCGGAUUUAUUGGGUUUAAAGGGUGCGUAGGCGGCCUGCCAAGUCAGCGGUAAAAUUGCGGGGCUCAACCCCGUACAGCCGUUGAAACUGCCGGGCUCGAGUGGGCGAGAAGUAUGCGGAAUGCGUGGUGUAGCGGUGAAAUGCAUAGAUAUCACGCAGAACCCCGAUUGCGAAGGCAGCAUACCGGCGCCCGACUGACGCUGAGGCACGAAAGUGCGGGGAUCAAACAGGAUUAGAUACCCUGGUAGUCCGCACAGUAAACG